UGCAGUCGAACGCACUCGACCUUCGGGUCACAUGAGUGAGUGGCGAACGGGUGAGUAACACGUGAGGAACCUGCCCCGAAGACUGGAAUAACCCGAGGAAACUCGGGCUAAUACCGGAUAUCCCCACCAGGUCGCAUGGCCAGGCAAGGAAAUGCUCCGGCGCUUCGGGAGGGUCUCGCGGCCUAUCAGCUAGUUGGUGAGGUAACGGCUCACCAAGGCAUCGACGGGUAGCUGGUCUGAGAGGACGAUCAGCCACACUGGGACUGAGACACGGCCCAGACUCCUACGGGAGGCAGCAGUGGGGAAUCUUGCGCAAUGGGCGAAAGCCUGACGCAGCCACGCCGCGUGAGGGAUGAAGGCUUUCGGGUUGUAAACCUCUUUCAGCAGGGACGAAAAUGACGGUACCUGCAGAAGAAGCUCCGGCCAACUACGUGCCAGCAGCCGCGGUAACACGUAGGGAGCAAGCGUUGUCCGGAUUUAUUGGGCGUAAAGAGCUCGUAGGCGGUUCAGUCAGUCGGGUGUGAAAACUUGAGGCUCAACCUCAAGAGGCCACUCGAUACUGCUGUGACUAGAGUCCGGUAGAGGAGUGUGGAAUUCCUGGUGUAGCGGUGAAAUGCGCAGAUAUCAGGAGGAACACCGACAGCGAAGGCAGCACUCUGGGCCGGUACUGACGCUGAGGAGCGGAAGCAUGGGGAGCAAACAGGAUUAGAUACCCCGGUAGUCCAUGCCGUAAACGUUGGGCACUAGGUGUGGGGUCUCGCUAACAGAUUCCGUGCCGCAGCUAACGCAUUAAGUGCCCCGCCUGGGGAGUACGGCCGC
rnacentral:rRNA from 1 species